UACAGGGGGUGCAAACGUUGCUCGGAAUUAUUGGGCGUAAAGCGCGCGUAGGCGGCCACUUAAGUCGGAUGUGAAAGCCCCUGGCUCAACUGGGGAAGUGCACCCGAAACUGAAUGGCUUGAGUGCGAAAGAGGGUAGUGGAAUUCCCGGUGUAGUGGUGAAAUGCGUAGAUAUCGGGAGGAACACCAGUGGCGAAGGCGACUACCUGGCCUGUUCUUGACGCUGAGGCGCGAAAGCUAGGGGAGCAAACAGG
rnacentral:rRNA from 1 species